CGCUGCUUGCCUCCAGCGCCAUUGACACUGUGGCAGCCAUGUUUGAAAUGGGCAACACCACCAGUUGCGCCCUAAGCCGGCCUUCCCGAACAGCCUAGGGCCGCGGCCCGGCUUGCGUUCCACGAAAAUGGCCGCCCGGCCGAGGCGGCGGCUGUUGAGGAGGCGUCAAGCCGCGGCUGCAGUCCGGCUGCUGGGCGUCCUGUGGCUGGCGUGCGUCGCCGCGGAGGGCGUUGUCGGCGGGGAGCCCCCGCCCAAGUGCGACGAGCUGAGACUGGGGCAAUAUAUUUGUGAAGAUCCUAAAAUAGACAAUAGCACACAAGAACCACAGAAUUGUACAAAUCAAACAGCAUACGUUCCAUGUCUUCCGGCACCAAAUAUUACUUGUAAGGAUUACAGUGGCAAUGAAAACAACUUUACUGGGAAGGAAGUUGGAUUUUACAAACCCAUUGCAUGUCGUAAUGUAAAUGGUUACUCAUACAAAGUGGCAGUGGCUCUGUCUUUAUUUCUUGGAUGGUUGGGAGCAGAUAGAUUUUAUCUCGGAUAUCCUGCCUUAGGUUUGUUAAAGUUCUGCACUGUAGGGUUUUGUGGAAUUGGUAGCCUAAUUGAUUUCAUUCUCAUUUCAAUGCAGAUUGUUGGACCGUCUGAUGGCUCUAGUUACAUUAUAGAUUACUAUGGAGCAAGGCUUACUAGGCUGAGUAUUACCAAUGGGACAUUCAGAAAAACACAGACCUAUCCUUAAGCCUGGCAGGAAGUGUCGCAUACACACAGGUUUGAACGGUCUGUUCUCAAGAUUGCAGUGCUCUUCAACCUGUGAGAAAAGUAGCUAGCAGCCUCUGCAGAUGCAUAUGACACAGCAGAGACCUCUUUCAAAUCCCUUUCUGUAAGGAAGAUGGACUCAGAACAUGUAAUAGGAAGCUACUGUCUGCUAAGGACUUAACUCGUGGCAACAUCUGUGUGAUUGACUGUCUCUGCAUAGUAUGAAGAGAGUAGAACUACCUCACUGUAUGGAUUGCAUGGUAGUAGCAGAAGCUGGAGAAAAGAGGAAUACAUAUUUUUUAGGAUUGUCAUUUCAUUAUCUCAUCCAUUGUAGUCCUAUUAAGAGAAUGAUGUGCACUUUUCAGGUAUUUUGUUAAAUAAGCAUAAACAAUGAACUUCAUGCUAACAGAUACAAUUCCUGGUAUCUAAGACAGUAUCUUGAAUUUAAAAGCUUGUGGUAAUGUGUGUAUCUGGGAGCUAAGGGGGCUGGGAUAAAACGUGAUUGACUUGACAUUCGUGGUCUUUCUCCCAGCUCUGUUGCAAAAGUAGGAACAGAAUCAGAAUAAAAAAAUAUUUAUUUUACAGCUGUACCAAGUUACAGCACACUCUCUCUGUCCUCUCUCCCACUUGCAUCAAGUACAUCCUGUACUUUUGGCAACAUGUUGACUGGAUAUUUAAAAGCUGUGAACUGUUCUGAAAGUUUCACAUACAGGGUUAUGAGCCAUGUGUGUUUGAUCAAAAUUCAAUUACUGCACUGUACCAUGCUUGGAAACCUAUCAUCCCAGGUUAUGAAGUAUGACGGAAUAGGAUAAUCUAAUUGGUUCAGUAUGGGAGCAGUAUCAACCAAGCUUGUUAUGAUAAAUAGCUUCCUGUGUUAAAGGUUCUCUAGAGCUUAAGUAUCUUGGCUCACCUCCUUCCACAAAAUAAGAAUAUUGUUCCCUGAGAACAGUUACAUCACUGUCUCUCUUCUACAAUUGGGAUUAAGGAUUUGUUGAAGUUUUCAUUUUGCUGCUUCUUGAAAAGAUAAACAAUGAAUAUCUGCCCCAUUUCCCACCUCCCUGCUUCUACCUCAUCCCUUCGCUACUCCCCUCCUAGCCAAGGCCAGAUCAUCUUGCAGUCACUGUGGUUGUUGAAUCUUUUUUACUACUGUUUGAGACAAUCCCAAAGAGGAUCUUAAACUUGCCAUGGGCUUGAGUUUGGGAGCUGUAUGGUUUUGUAUUUGGGGAGUGGAAUUAAAUGGUGAAGCAUAUUAGUAUUUCCAAACAUCUAAUAAAACUGCCUGGUCACAAAGAAUUGUAAAUAUCUAUGGAAAUGUUGCUAUCCAUUUGGAAUUUUUAUUUGAGGUAGUAGUUCCAUUGUGCAAGUAUUGAAAUAAGAGCAGAGAUGGGCUAAUAUUUUAAGCUGGGAUUUGUGAUUACUAAAUGUGUCCCUAAGACAAUGAGCUCAGUCUCAUGAGAAGGUACUAGCUCCAUGGUUUUAGGAGGCCCGUCUUUGGCAAUAACUGAUUUUCUGUGAUCUUGAUGUCAUGGUAAUAGACUGUGGCAAGAGAUAGAACAUGGAAAAAUGGAUCUUUAUGCUCCCUGGCCAUAUAUGUGUUAUCAUGCAUAAGGUGAUGAUUUGAGUGAGGUUACAAAUGCUCAUACUCUCAAAUCCUCUUAGGACAAAAAUGAUUAUGUAGUUGCUAUUUGAGCUAAGGCAGAAUAUGGUCCGAUCUUAUUAAACACUUUGAAUAUUAGUGGGACUACACCCAUGAACAAAGUUGUUCAUAUGCAUAAGUGUUGGUGGGAUCAGAUCCUAUGUGAAUGAGUCUUGGUGUUUUCCCCAAGACUGCUUAAAGCUGAAUUAAGCAUGUAUGGUGAUUAAUGCCCAUUUACCAUCUCUGUCUUAUCCCAUUGCAGUUUGAUUUUAAAACUUGAUCUCAUUUUAGUUCACCAUUUAAAUACCGUUUGCCCUUCUGCUGGCAAAUGAACAUAACACUGAAGGCUUAGUUUCCAGAAUGUACAAGAUCUACUAUAAAUAAUGGCAUUUAAUUCUAAAAAAUCCAACAACUUUAGUUAUCAAAAAAUAGGCUGAUGGCUAAAUCCAGCAAUACAAAAUUAGGGAGUGCAGAAUUCACCACAAAAAACAAAUAUUCAUGUCCAUAUGAGAUAAAUAUACCUUUGCUAUGCUGCUUACCACUUUGAAACACAGAUUUGAUCAGUCCUUUAUUUUAUAGUGUUUUCAUUGUUUCUUUAAUAAUGCAUUUAAUCUCAAAAACUGAGAUUCAGUGCAAUUCUCUCCAAAUAUCUCAGAUGAGAGUAAUUCAUUUUAUCUUCUAAAGUUCUAAUAAGAAAUGCUCACAGAGACAGUAGCUUUAUCUUCAAAAAUAGAGUGUGACUGUAGGCACUUAUGCUAAUCUCUUUUUUGGCAAAUCAGCUUUUUUGUAUUGGAUCUCGCUUGAUUGAAUAGCACUGGAGCUGCCAGAGUAAAUGCUAUUAUCAAUGUACAGUAAUUAAGGAAAUAGUCCUUGUCACUCUAACAGUGUCCAAGCUGUGCCUACUGUAACAAAGUUAAUGGUAAAGAAAUCUCUUUAAAGAGAAAGCUACUGGAGUGUGGUUACUUUUGACAGGCGGUUAAACAAUGCCGUGUCAAAUUAUGGGUUAUGAAAAAAUUUAUAAAAUAGGCCAAUUGAAACCCAAAUGAAUGCUGGACUCUAAUACAUAAUUACACAAGAAAUUAAAGAGUUAUCCUACUGACUUAAAGCCAGUUGAUUGACUCUGAAUCCCUAUCCCCCCCCAAAAAAGGGAGACUCUUCUGACAUUCAAAAACCUCAAGACCUUUGCAGCCCAGGAAAAGCUUUUAUAAAAGGUGAACCAGGCAACAGAGUCAAUACAUAUGGGCCCUAUCUAAUCAACUUGGGGAGUGAAUUUCCGUAUAGAGGACUCCCAAUUAACAACUUGCCCCAAAUUAUCUCCCAUUUCACCUGAUCACAGUUGUGAUCAAACAUGGAGAUUGGCAGAACAAUGAUGACACAAGUCUUUUAGAACCUCCUAGAUUAAAACCAUGGAAAAAUAAUCAUUCUCAUUAUGAGCAAUGCUAUUUAGUAAGUGGGUAAACCCUAUUCUGCACUACCUGAAGUUUCCAAAUGAUCAGUAGAGCUCCUUGCAAUAAGAUAGUAUGGAGGUCACAAAGGCAUUAAUAAGUACAGUGAAGUGUGCAUUUGUGAAGAAAGGUUAUGAUCUCUUCCCAGGCUGAAAUACAUGCAGAAAAUGUAAGGUGUAACCAAGUUACAGGACGGGAAAAUGUUAAUUUUAAUCAAGAAGUGCAUUGGAAACAUAGUCCAGGGUAUAAAUACUGUUUUUUUUAAAAAACAACUCCUCACCCCAAGUCUGCAAAGUAGUUAUACAAAUAUUAAUGGGAAAGAAGAACAAGUCAUAACAAUGCACUAGAGUCCAAAGCGUUGCUUCUAGUACAGUACAUCCAUUCUUGUAAGAAGCAUUAGAGUAGUCACAGCUCAUUUAUGUCUUUUCUUUUUCUCACACGUACCUGUGUAAUGUGUGUAUGCUAAUGUAUUUGUUACGUGUUAUUAAAAGAACUGACAGUUUUGUGUGUGGCUUCAUAGUCCUGUGGAAUUUUAACAUUCUCUGCAGUGCACCAUUUUAAUGCAUUGACAUUCUGAACACAGGGCAUGAUAGCCUUUCCAUUAAAAAAUGCAAUGAAGAAUUUUCUAAAUAAAAUAACUGAGCCAUUGUAGUUCAUGUGGUACUUUUAAAAAACAAAAUUGACAGAAGUAUGUUGUGUGGAUUCAACACUCAUUUUGUUUAUCUCUGACUAGAAAAAGACUUAGGCUCCAAUCCAGCAAAGCACACGCUAAAGUUAAGCACAUAUCUUAGUGAUUUCCUUGACUACAAUAGACUACUACACUUAAGUGCUUUGCUGGAUCGUGGUCUGUGUAUUCAGGUCACUGAUGUUCUGUGCAUUGUUCCAAAAUAUUUUUAAUGGCCUUAUCUUGACAUUUAAAACUGUGUAUUUGAAUCUGAGGAGGAGGGUACUGGUCAGUAUUUAAAAAAUUAUAGCUCAUGCAGGGAGCUUUUUUAAUUCAGGCCUGCCAAAUUCAAAGGCAGAUACUUUCUCAUUCUCUAGCUCCUGGGUACACAUUCUACUUUGCUGUUUCAAGGACAAAGGAAAUUUCUGUCCAAUUAGAUGAGGCUAAGAUUGUGACAUAACUUUUUCCUUAAAUAAAAAAGUUGGAAUUUUUUUUUGA